rnacentral:rRNA from 1 species
AGAGUUUGAUCAUGGCUCAGAUUGAACGCUGGCGGCAGGCCUAACACAUGCAAGUCGAACGGUAGCACAGAGAGCUUGCUCUCGGGUGACGAGUGGCGGACGGGUGAGUAAUGUCUGGGAAACUGCCUGAUGGAGGGGGAUAACUACUGGAAACGGUGGCUAAUACCGCAUAACGUCGCAAGACCAAAGAGGGGGACCUUCGGGCCUCUUGCCAUCAGAUGUGCCCAGAUGGGAUUAGCUUGUUGGUGAGGUAACGGCUCACCAAGGCGACGAUCCCUAGCUGGUCUGAGAGGAUGACCAGCCACACUGGAACUGAGACACGGUCCAGACUCCUACGGGAGGCAGCAGUGGGGAAUAUUGCACAAUGGGCGCAAGCCUGAUGCAGCCAUGCCGCGUGUAUGAAGAAGGCCUUCGGGUUGUAAAGUACUUUCAGCGGGGAGGAAGGUGUUGUGGUUAAUAACCGCAGCAAUUGACGUUACCCGCAGAAGAAGCACCGGCUAACUCCGUGCCAGCAGCCGCGGUAAUACGGAGGGUGCAAGCGUUAAUCGGAAUUACUGGGCGUAAAGCGCACGCAGGCGGUCUGUCAAGUCGGAUGUGAAAUCCCCGGGCUCAACCUGGGAACUGCAUUCGAAACUGGCAGGCUUGAGUCUUGUAGAGGGGGGUAGAAUUCCAGGUGUAGCGGUGAAAUGCGUAGAGAUCUGGAGGAAUACCGGUGGCGAAGGCGGCCCCCUGGACAAAGACUGACGCUCAGGUGCGAAAGCGUGGGGAGCAAACAGGAUUAGAUACCCUGGUAGUCCACGCCGUAAACGAUGUCUACUUGGAGGUUGUGCCCUUGAGGCGUGGCUUCCGGAGCUAACGCGUUAAGUAGACCGCCUGGGGAGUACGGCCGCAAGGUUAAAACUCAAAUGAAUUGACGGGGGCCCGCACAAGCGGUGGAGCAUGUGGUUUAAUUCGAUGCAACGCGAAGAACCUUACCUGGUCUUGACAUCCACGGAAGUUUUCAGAGAUGAGAAUGUGCCUUCGGGAACCGUGAGACAGGUGCUGCAUGGCUGUCGUCAGCUCGUGUUGUGAAAUGUUGGGUUAAGUCCCGCAACGAGCGCAACCCUUAUCCUUUGUUGCCAGCGGUUAGGCCGGGAACUCAAAGGAGACUGCCAGUGAUAAACUGGAGGAAGGUGGGGAUGACGUCAAGUCAUCAUGGCCCUUACGACCAGGGCUACACACGUGCUACAAUGGCGCAUACAAAGAGAAGCGACCUCGCGAGAGCAAGCGGACCUCAUAAAGUGCGUCGUAGUCCGGAUUGGAGUCUGCAACUCGACUCCAUGAAGUCGGAAUCGCUAGUAAUCGUGGAUCAGAAUGCCACGGUGAAUACGUUCCCGGGCCUUGUACACACCGCCCGUCACACCAUGGGAGUGGGUUGCAAAAGAAGUAGGUAGCUUAACCUUCGGGAGGGCGCUUACCACUUUGUGAUUCAUGACUGGGGUGAAGUCGUAACAAGGUAACCGUAGGGGAACCUGCGGUUG